GGCAUAUAGUUCAGUUGGUAGAGUGUUUGUCUUGCAUAAAUACACAAGGCCCUGGGUUCAAUCCCCAGCACUGCCA
rfam:Ictidomys tridecemlineatus contig035840, whole genome shotgun sequence.